rnacentral:misc_RNA from 1 species
GAUGAAGAACGUAGUGAAAUGCGAUACGUAAUGUGAAUUGCAGAAUUCAGUGAAUCAUCGAGUCUUUGAACGCACAUUGCGCCCCCUGGUAUUCCGGGGGGCAUGCCUGUCCGAGCGUCAUUGCUACCCUCAAGCACGGCUUGUGUGUUGGGCCUCCGUCCUCCUCCCGGGGGACGGGCCCGAAAGGCAGCGGCGGCACCGCGUCCGGUCCUCGAGCGUAUGGGGCUUCGUCACCCGCUCUUGUAGGCCCGGCCGGCGCUUGCCGACACAUCAAUCUUUUUUCCAGGUUGACCUCGGAUCAGGUAGGGAUACCCGCUGAACUUAAGCAUAUCAAUAAGCGGAGGA